rnacentral:rRNA from 1 species
CGAGUCUUAUAGGUGGAUCACUCGGCUCGU